rnacentral:rRNA from 1 species
CCUACGGGCGGCAGCAGUAGGGAAUCUUUCACAAUGGGCGAAAGCCUGAUGGAGCAACGCCGCGUGCAGGAUGAAGGCCUUCGGGUUGUAAACUGCUUUUAUAAGCGAGAAAUAUGAUGGUAACUUAUGAAUAAGGAUCGGCUAACUACGUGCCAGCAGCCGCGGUCAUACGUAGGAUCCGAGCAUUAUCCGGAGUGACUGGGUGUAAAGAGUUGGGUAAGGGGGAUAAUAAGUAGCUAGUGAAAUCUGGUGGCUCAACCAAUCAGACUAUUAGCUAAACUGUUAAGCUCGAGACCGUUAGAGGUAACCGGAAGGUGUAGUGUAGGAGUGAAAUCCGUAGAUAUUAGAAGGAACACCGAUAGCGUAGGCAGGUUGCUGGGACGGUUCUGACACUAAGGCACGAAAGCGUAGGGAGCAAACGGGAUUAGAUACCCGGGUAGUC